UCCGUGCCAGCAGCCGCGGUAAUACGGAGGGUGCGAGCGUUAAUCGGAAUUACUGGGCGUAAAGCGCAUGCAGGCGGCCUGUUAAGUCAGAUGUGAAAGCCCGGGGCGUUAACCUCGGAAUUGCAUUUGAAACUGGCAGGCUAGAGUCUUGUAGAGGGGGGUAGGGAAGUUUACUAGGUGUAGCGGUGAAAUAGCGUAGAGAUCUGAAGGAAUACCAGUGGCGAAGGCGGCCCCCUGGACAAAGACUGACGCUCAGAUGCGAAAGCGUGGGGAGCAAACAGGAUUAGAUACCCCUGGUAG
rnacentral:rRNA from 1 species